rnacentral:rRNA from 1 species
GGUGCUUGCACCGUGGAUUAGUGGCGAACGGGUGAGUAACACGUGAGCAACCUGCCCUGGACUCUGGGAUAAGCGUUGGAAACGACGUCUAAUACUGGAUAUGAGCUUCUGCCGCAUGGUGGGGGUUGGAAAGAUUUUUUGGUCUGGGAUGGGCUCGCGGCCUAUCAGCUUGUUGGUGAGGUAAUGGCUUACCAAGGCGUCGACGGGUAGCCGGCCUGAGAGGGUGACCGGCCACACUGGGACUGAGACACGGCCCAGACUCCUACGGGAGGCAGCAGUGGGGAAUAUUGCACAAUGGGCGGAAGCCUGAUGCAGCAACGCCGCGUGAGGGAUGACGGCCUUCGGGUUGUAAACCUCUUUUAGCAAGGAAGAAGCGUGAGUGACGGUACUUGCAGAAAAAGCACCGGCUAACUACGUGCCAGCAGCCGCGGUAAUACGUAGGGUGCAAGCGUUAUCCGGAAUUAUUGGGCGUAAAGAGCUCGUAGGCGGUUUGUCGCGUCUGCUGUGAAAUCCCGAGGCUCAACUUCGGGUCUGCAGUGGGUACGGGCAGACUAGAGUGCGGUAGGGGAGAUUGGAAUUCCUGGUGUAGCGGUGGAAUGCGCAGAUAUCAGGAGGAACACCGAUGGCGAAGGCAGAUCUCUGGGCCGUAACUGACGCUGAGGAGCGAAAGGGUGGGGAGCAAACAGGCUUAGAUACCCUGGUAGUCCACCCCGUAAACGUUGGGAACUAGUUGUGGGGGCCAUUCCACG